CACAAAAUGACCAUUCCUUCUUCUUGGUCGAUAUAGGAAGAUGAGCAAAGACUGAGAUUUGAAGAAAUGGGACUUGAUGGAUUUGCAGUAAUUAAGGAGAGAUGAUGAAUAUAUGAACAAAGACUUGAGCAGAGAUGGAGUCGGGGCAGUGGCGUAUGUUGGCUUUGUUAUAGGUACAAUGAUAGGCCGAUGUAGGAGGUUCAGAAUCAAGUAUAAUGCUAAUGUUACAGAGAACAGAGCCAAAUGGAAUAUCUCAGAGCCAGAGAACAAAGCAGACUGAAAUGCCUUUGAGUUUAAGGAAAGGUGGAUUUUUAUGAACUGACCAAAGAAUGGUUUCUGAAGAUGGGCUGCUUGGACUCAAGUGAUGUUAAUAGGUUUCAACAACACCUCCACAGUGGCUUUAAACAAGUCACAGUGGUUCUUCUCUGAAGAAAUGGCUAAUGACUGCAGUUCUUAAUCCCCAAACUCCAACAGAAUUACUUUAUAAUGAGGCACAUAAAUUUACCAGACCUAUAAUCGAAAGAACCUUUGGUCUUCUAAGAAAUAAUACAGAUGCCUAGCCGAAUAUGGUAGUAUAGAUUAUAUAAAAUCACUCCUUGAAUGUUUGUGAAGGUUUUUUUCUGGGUGUUGCAUAUAACAAAAUGACACUGUCCGAUGUAUAAUUUCUCAAGGAGAGAAUGAGAUCAAUGUAUCAAACCACAAAUAUAUGGUCAAAUAAUUAAAUAGAGUCCAUUUGUAAUAUGAAUUUUCUGUUAAUUUGUGAAUGGCAAGGAAAUGCCUGGUGGAUUGGGCCCUUUUGUUGUUAGAGCAUAAUACUUGAUGUAUACAUUUUCAUCUUUCAUUUGUACACUAUGAGUGUUCCUCUUUGGACUUAUUUGCUCAGGUAAUGUCAUUUCUGAACUCUAAAGACAAACGCUUUAUAAAACCAAUGCACUUGCAUUUGAUUUGCUGAAAUUUGAAGAAAAUAUCUUUUUUGAAUGAGAGAGAUGUCUUGACAAUCAUGUGGCAGAUUGCUAGCUAGGAGACAAAUUGAUUUCAUCUCUAGUGAUUAAAGUGCACAGAAGGUUUUUCAGGGAGACAAAGAUGUUUGAUUUCUUCCAUCUCCUCUUCCUUCUGUGGAGUGGGAAUUUACUGGGAUUCCCCUGGGUGGAUGCCACGAAAUUCUUACAGAGCAGCAUAAGGGGGCUGCAAUGCUUGUAAGCACGGCU